UUCCAAACCUCGCUUCACCACGCUAAAAAUCCGAGCCAUUUCAAGUUCCACUGCCUCCCCAGACCCAGCAGGCUUGGAAGGAGAGAAAAACCUGCUCUACCCAGCCAGGUCCCUUCCUUUGGAGAAGUUAUAAGCCUUCCAUGGCACCCGCUACUCGAGCCAAUGAACGCGACUGCUCUGACAAGGCGCCUCUAAUUUCACCGACCCUGGCAAACUGCAGGAGACAUUCAGUCCACGCCACAUAAAAACUAUUAAAGUGGGAUCGCCGCAGUUGAAAAGCCCGAUCAGUGCCUGGAGAUUAGAACGCGAGCCUUUAAAGUACACACGCACCCGGCACCGGGAAAGCCCAGGCGCCUGUGACCCUCCGAAGGACUCUGGGUCAGCAUCCUCGCGCCUGGACCAUCUAGGGGGUCAUCAGAAAGUAAUACACGUCAUAAGAAAGAUGUGGGGGAGACCCCGAUGCUCGCGCCUCUGCCAGGUGGAGGCGGGGUGCAGGUAGAAGCCGCGCGCUGGACUGCUGGAUGAACUCCGUUACGCGCAGGCUCCGCGCCGACCCCGGAAGGGACAGUGUCGAAGUUUCCCCUUCGCGCUGUGCCUCUGGUGAAAACAGGACAUCCCCUUCGGCCACCCCACAACAAAUAGC
rnacentral:lncRNA from 1 species